rnacentral:sRNA from 3 species
CCCAGAGGUAUUGAUAGGUGGAGUCGACUUCACGUUGACCACUUUAAUUACACCAGCCUGCGCAGAUGCGCAGGUUUUUUUU